UACGUAGGGUGCAAGCGUUGUCCGGAAUUAUUGGGCGUAAAGAGCUCGUAGGCGGUUCGUCGCGUCGGCUGUGAAAACCCGGAGCUCAACUCCGGGCCUGCAGUCGAUACGGGCGGACUAGAGUUCGGCAGGGGAGACUGGGAUUCCUGGUGUAGCGGUGAAAUGCGCAGAUAUCAGGAGGAACACCGGUGGCGAAGGCGGGUCUCUGGGCCGAUACUGACGCUGAGGAGCGAAAGCGUGGGGAGCGAACAGG
rnacentral:rRNA from 1 species